rnacentral:rRNA from 1 species
UCUCAGACUACAAAAUUAACUUUUAGUGUAAAAAACAAAUUAUAACUAAACCCAAUCUAGUCAUAAAUAAACUACCCCAACAAACCAUAACCUCAGAACUCGGAUUAGAUACCCGACUACUGUAUGGCCCAACACAUAAAAGAAUACUACGAGCGAAAGCUUAAAACUCAAACAAUGUGGCGGUGCUUUACUCCUCAUCAGGGGAUCCUGUGGCUUAAUUCGAUAAUCCACGAAAAUCUUAGCUACUAUUGUUUACAGCUUGUGUAUGGCCGUUUAUGCUUGCUCAUAGAAGAAAAAAAAGGAAGCAAUAGGACUAAUUACCCAAAAAUUCAGGUGACAUACAGCCAAUUAGUAGCAGAUCCAUGGGAUACAAAUAAACAUACUACCAGAUUUUAAAACCUAAAACUUUAAUGAAGGAGGACUUGAAAGUAAGAUUUAUCAUUACAUAACAUAGAUCUGGACAAGAACUAAAGCGCGCACAAAUCGCCCGUCACUCCGACAAUAAAGUCGGAUAAGUCGUAACAUAGUAAGAUGUAC